UACGUAGGGAGCAAGCGUUGUCCGGAAUCGAUUGGCGUAAAGCGCGCGUAGGCGGCCUCAUAAGUCCGUUGUGAAAGUCAAAGGCUCAACCUUUGAAAGCCGAUGGAUACUGUGAGGCUAGAGUCCGGAAGAGGCGAGUGGAAUUCCUGGUGUAGCGGUGGAAUGCGCAGAUAUCAGGAGGAACACCAAUAGCGAAGGCAGCUCGCUGGGACGGUACUGACGCUAAGGCGCGAAAGCGUGGGGAGCGAACAGG
rnacentral:rRNA from 1 species